GAAAUCCGAAGCUCAUGAAGAGAAAAUUGUUGUACGUCGCGUUGGCUUCAAUUUGAGCUAGAAAUCAGCCAAUAAGGAGAAGAUUUUAUGUGGUGCUGCAAAUUUAAGGUACAGAUACUCAUUUUGGAGAGCCGCCACCUUAGGAUUCUACUCAACGGGUUGAAGUGCUCCAUUGUCUCGGAGCCUAAACUUUUGCGAUGCCUCCAAGAAAAGCGACAGCUGCCCAAAAGGGA